UAUAUCGGAACGUGCCCGGUCGUGGGGGAUAACGUAGCGAAAGCUACGCUAAUACCGCAUACGAUCUACGGAUGAAAGCGGGGAUCGCAAGACCUCGCGCGAUUGGAGCGGCCGAUAUCAGAUUAGGUAGUUGGUGAGGUAAAGGCUCACCAAGCCGACGAUCUGUAGCUGGUCUGAGAGGACGACCAGCCACACUGGGACUGAGACACGGCCCAGACUCCUACGGGAGGCAGCAGUGGGGAAUUUUGGACAAUGGGCGCAAGCCUGAUCCAGCAAUGCCGCGUGCAGGAUGAAGGCCUUCGGGUUGUAAACUGCUUUGUACGGAACGAAACGGUGAGCUCUAAUACAGUUUGCUAAUGACGGUACCGUAAGAAUAAGCACCGGCUAACUACGUG
rnacentral:rRNA from 1 species